CCACCCCUUGCUUACUCCUGGAGUGAGCAUGCCCAAACAGUGACGUGUUUACCCCAGUGCCUGUGAUAUGACCUGAAGUCUUAUCGCACAGUGGAGAUUGUGUACCACUUUGCUCAGGGGGAUGCUUGUGAUGGUGAUAUAACAUGCAGUGAUCCAGUCCCAGGGAGCCCAGGGAGGCUGAGCACGGGCAUGUGAGCAGACUAAGCUACCAUUAGAGGAAGUGAUCUGCAGAACAAAAGCUGCCUGCUGAGGAGAAGACAAGACUGCCCUAGGACUUGUUUCCAAAGUCCUCUGCUGCUACAAAAGGCACUUCUCCUUCUAGACUUGACUGGCAGAGUGGUUCUGGAGCUUGGCUGCAUCCUCUUCCACAGAGAAGGUUAUAAAAAGAAAGCCCAAACUUCAAACCAACCAAAAAAACCCCUUGAAACUAAACUCGAUUUCUGACUCCCCUUUGAAACGGAAGUAAUUUUCUUUCCAUGUAGCUCUACCAAUCGUCCUCUUUGCUGUCUGUUACAUUAAACUAUGCUACUCCGAUGUCUUCUCGAG
rnacentral:lncRNA from 1 species